UUGUGAUUUAUUUUGACGGGGAAAAAGAAAAGCACAAGGCAAAAAUACUAGAUUCUACUUCAAUCUAACAUGAGUUUUCCCUUUCAUCUUCCUUUGGUUAUUUUCACGAUUAAGACUGCACCUUGCGAAAUUUCUGUAAUUAAAGAACUAUGGUAUCACAUUGAACUUGCACUAUAGUACAAAAAUUGCCAAGGUGUUAGAAAUCUAAGUUUCUAUGCUUUAAACAACCAAAACAAUUGAUGGAGAUCCCUAGACAUGUUAUAUGGAAGAGUUUCCAACUUAAAAUACUUAUUUUAGGUCAAGUAAUUAGGGUGGGCUUUAUAUAUUUCCUAGUAUUUUAUUAGUUAUUUCUUACUUAAAAUAGAUUAGAUUAAAACCUAUGAAGUGACACAUGUAUUAUUAGUCAGACUUUUAUUGAAUAAACUCAUAUUUCUCCCUCUAUUUUCUUAAUUCUCUCCCUUCUCUUUCUUUCUUCUCAAGGCUCAUUUCUUGUUAAUUGCAUGUGUUCAUUAUCAACAAUUUUUGUAGCCUUCUAAUCUGUUGGUCCCACAUUGAAUACCUUCAUUUCCUAUUCAUGAUUUCAAAAUUCAUAUUUUGAGAAUACCCUCUUCUUUAAUUACUGUUUUCAGAAUUAUUGAGUUAAAAAAAAAAAAUAAUAAAAACAAUAAAUAAAUAAAAC
rnacentral:lncRNA from 1 species